CAAAUCCAUCUAACUGAUCAACGCAAGUUGCACCGUUCUGACAAGGUUCAGAUGCGCAAUCGUCGAUCGUGUGCUGGCACUGUUUACCUGUGUAGCCAGGCUCGCAAGUGCAGGCCGGACCAGUCCAUCCUGGAUGACAGAUGCACUCGUGUCUGAAUAACUUGUCUACGCAGAUACCGUUCAGGCAGGGAUUUCCCGAGCACAAAUCUAUCUUCUCGUGGCAACGUUUACCCGUGAAUCCUGGCGGGCAGUCGCACAUAAAGUCGGCAACCAGGCAGACAGUCGCACUUGAAUCUGCCCUGCUGAAGAGCCACACAAGUUGCCCCGUUGUUGCAGGGAUUUCCAUUAGCCGUGCAAGGAUUUAUCUGUAAAGGGUGCACCAAGUGACACAAUUGAAUAGAGAAUCCUGUGGCACUGGUUUUCUCUGGCUCAAUUACCUGCAGGACAAGCUCGAGCUCGGCACAUAAAUGGCAACAAGGACUCGCACGUGGUCAACGCCCAGGAUUGCUGCUCGUCGGAGAUCGAAACGUCAACGCAUUCCCCGGACUGCGGAUUUGGCUGCUUUAGAGCCCAGAAACCUGAACACAGUUUGAAAGAUGAGCUACGAAUUCUUCCAUCUGUAGCAUCGGACAAUCAAGAUGUGAAUUACAAUUGCUCAAUCCUCUCUGCGAUUUCGGCGCGCAAUGAUCAAUGUCAAUGAUCCCAGCACCUGCGGAUGGCGGUAAGUGGCGAAUAUAUAUAUGAAAAGUAGUUCAUUCCCACUCAUCGGAUGAGUAAUAUUCCCGCGUUUUACAAUUCUAAGCAAAUUCUAUACAUGCACGUGAUGGGAAAAACUACGGAAACAGAUACUCACGGCCGAAGUGUAAUUGUACCAUCGAUGAAUAACAAAAUCUACAGACCUUACAC
rnacentral:lncRNA from 1 species